GUAGGUGGCAAGCGUUGUCCGGAAUUAUUGGGCGUAAAGCGCGCGCAGGUGGUUCUUUAAGUCUGAUGUGAAAGCCCCCGGCUCAACCGGGGAGGGUCAUUGGAAACUGGGGAACUUGAGUGCAGGAGAGGAAAGUGGAAUUCCACGUGUAGCGGUGAAAUGCGUAGAUAUGUGGAGGAACACCAGUGGCGAAGGCGACUUUCUGGCCUGUAACUGACACUGAGGCGCGAAAGCGUGGGGAGCAAACAGGGAUUAGAUACCCUGGUAGUCCACGCCGUAAACGAUGAGUGCUAAGUGUUGGGGGGGUUUCCCGCCCCUCAGUGCUGCAGCUAACGCAUUAAGCACUCCGCCUGGGAAUACGGUCGCAAGACUG
rnacentral:rRNA from 1 species